rnacentral:rRNA from 1 species
CGGGCGUAGUCAUAUGCUUGUCUCAAAGCUUAAGCCAUGCAAGUCUCAGUACAGACUAUAUUAAAGUGAAACCGCAAAAGGCUCAGUAAACCAGUUUUAAUUUACUAGAGUUAACUUGACUGUGCUUGGAUAACUGUGGUAAUUCUAGAGCUAAUACAUGCAACAAAGCCGUGACCAUUCGUGGUCAGGGCGCUUUUAUUAGACCAAGACCAAUCGCCCGGCCAGUCCGGGCGUUAAGUUGAGGAACCUAGAUAACACAGCAGAUCGCAUGGUCUUAGUACCGGCGACCUAUCUUUCAAAUGCCUGACUUAUCAACUGACGAUGGUAGACUCUGUGUCUACCAUGGCUGUUACGGGUAACGGGGAAUCAGGGUUCGAUUCCGGAGAGGGAGCCUGAGAAACGGCUACCACAUCCAAGGAAGGCAGCAGGCACGCAAAUUACCCACUCCCGGAACGGGGAGGUAGUGACAAAAAAUAACGAUACGGGACUCGAUAUGAGGCCUCGUAAUCGGAAUGAGUACACUCUAAAUCCUUUAACAAAAAUCUAUUGGAGGGCAAGUCUGGUGCCAGCAGCCGCGGUAAUUCCAGCUCCAAUAGCGUAUAUUAAAGUUGUUGCGGUUAAAAAGCUCGUAGUUGGUUCUGCGUCCCGCGCUGUCGGUACACCGUUUGUCGGUGACACUGGCAUGACGCGGGAUGUCCUGUCGGUGGCGGCGGAGACCAUAUCGCCGUCGGCUAACACCGCGGCGUGUUGGCCUUCUGUCGCCGGCUUUAUCCUACCGCGGUGCUCUUCACUGAGUGUCGAGGUAGGCCGACACGUUUACUUUGAACAAAUUAGAGUGCUUAAAGCAGGCAAAAAUCUCUGCCAGAAUAGUGGUGCAUGGAAUAAUGGAACAGGACCUUGGUUCUAUUCUGUUGGUCUCCGGAACACAAGGUAAUGAUCAAUGUGGACAGGCGGGGGCAUUCGUAUUGCGGCGUUAGAGGUGAAAUUCUUGGAUCGUCGCAAGACGCACUAGAGCGAAAGCAAUUGCCAAGUAUGUCUUAAUUGAUCAAGAACGAAAGUUAAAGGUUCCAAGGCGAUCAGA